CAAAUGACACAACGAAUUUUUUACUUAGAUACUUAUUAUAGGUUUUUGAAUUGUGAAGGGAUGAUACAGAAGAUGAGAAUGCUAUGUUCUAUUGGGGGGGAGAUAUUGUGUCUGAUCACAGAAGUGUGUCUUACAACGGCCAUGUGAAGAAGUUCUGUAAGCUCCACCGCCACCACCAUCUGCACCGACGAGGUAGGUGAGCUCUCUCUCUCAACCCUCUCUAAACGCUUAUCAUUCGCAGAGAUUCAAAUCGGUUUCGAUUUCGAAGCUCCACUGCCACCACCAUCUGCACCAUCGUCUACUAAGGUAAUUCCUAAAUGUCAUUUUCAAUAUUCUGAACAAGAAGGUUUAUAAUUAUUUUCCAUAUCCAUAUUAUACAUCUCCUAGUUGGUGUGGUCUAUUGUCUUGUCAGUUGGGCUGUUGGUAUGCCAAAACAAGCACCAAUCAACAAAGAACUCUCGACAGUCCUCACUCCAGUAGCAUUCUGUCACGCCCUUGGACAUGCCAUGUCCAAUGUAUCAUUUGCCGCCGUAGCUGUGUCUUUUACACAUACCAUUAAAGAUGGGUUAUAGAUGUUCUGGAGUUGGGUCCUUUUGAUGGCGAGCAACCUAUUUACAUAAGAUCGAUCAAUCAUUAAUUUAGGCUGCAAGUUAUUGUGCUUAUUACCUCCUUCUGUGGCUGUAAUAGGAUUGGGUGUAUAGUUACUUUCUGUUGGACAAGGUGAAUUCCAUGGUGAAGCGACGCAUACUCUGAAGUUUGUUGUGAACCAGUCAGACUACACUGUGCAGACACUAAGAAAUGUCACAGAGUAUCUAUUACUUGCAAAAGCCAUUAAUAUGGUCCAGGUUUUUCUUCCUUCAAAUGACAAAGAUAAAAUUGGCAAGUUGAAUGCAGAUUUAAAUACUGCAGCAGGUUUUUGAUUGCAUAUACAUUAGUAUAUAUACAUCUUUAAAUUACAUAAACAUUCACCCAUAAAUUUAGAGUGCAAAUUUCAGUUUGCCCCCAUGGUUCAACUCAAGCUUCAUGAACUACACAGCAGGUUUUUGAUUGCAUAUUCAUUAGUAUAUAUCUAUAUGUCUUUUCUCAAUUAUUUUGGUGGAUUUUUGAUCAAUUGAGUGGUUGGGUCAGUGGGACAUUGGUUAAAGUUUGGAUUUGUGAUAAAUUUUGCCGGAUAAAGUGAAGGCUUCUCAUGAUGUCUACGUUUCAUAUUUUGGAUUUUUUUCAACAUACUUUUGUAACAAUUAUUUAAACACAAAAUUAUAUAAUGAGGUGCAUCAUUUGUAUAUUCGUUAUGUUAGUCAUAUAAGGUGCAUCAUUUUUCGUGUUUCUGACUAGUAAUGUGUGCUUUAGGUCAAGGAUCAUCUUUGAUUAUAUGUGUGGGAAUAUUGACUGGCUACACAGAUACAUUAUAUAAGAUUUUAUCUCAGCUCACAGGUAGAUGCUUAAAUAAGAAAUUAUUCUAGUGUCUGUAUUCUAUCUAUCUAGGUAAUUAUUCUACUGUCCUUUUCUUUUCUUCUCUGUUUUGGGUUUGUCUGCUGUGUAGAAUUAGUGAACUCAAUUAGGAUGAAUUGAUAGAGACUAACUAGUUACUUCAUGGAUGCCUAUUGUACUUUCAGUUGUGCCUGAGUCCCUUAUUGUUAUCAUGGCAUCCACCAGGCAGUCUUCCUACUACAUCACGUAGCGGUAGUACAUCACAUGGCUUAGUUUCAGAUGGCCUACUAAGGACCAUGGAAGAGUAUGUCAAUACAAAGGGGUCAUUCUCAAAACCCACAAGGGAUACUAGAAAAUCACCUAAUCAGUUCCAGUUCUCUAAGGUAAAGAAGAUGCAUAAGAGUGCAUGAAGUCAACUUCAGAAGAUUGUAAAGGAGCAAGAAAAGAUAACAACUGAGUUAGAAGGUCAGAGCAAAUCACUGCAGGAACUUGAGAAAGAAUUGAAGAAAAAGGAGAUCCAAAAUGAAAAGAAGAGACUCUAGCUCCAAUUUGAGAAUAUUAUGGUACUGUAAUUGUACUAGUCUUUCUCGAAGAUUGAAUGGGUUUUGAUUCUAGGCUGGCUUUUCUUUUAGUUGGAUCAGUUUAGUGCUUUAGUUGCUGUAGAAAGGCUUUUGAAUAUUUUACUACUGGAAGGGGUCUGUAUCUGUUUCAUUGUAUGCUUCAGAGUAAUCCUGUACUGGUAGAAGUCAAGAUCAGUUUGCUGUUCUGUUAGGUUGUAGAUGUCGUUGAAAGGGGUAUGCCCUUUCUUUUGUUCUCAUUCUCUUCAAUGCCCUUAGAUGUUCUGAGCUGCACGUGCUACAUUUUGUAUCUUCUCUUCAAUGAAUUAUUUAAAUUUUGAGUGAGUGUUAUUUUUCAGUUUUA